rnacentral:rRNA from 1 species
CCGGUUGAUCCUGCCAGAGGUUACUGCUAUCGAGAUUCGACUAAGCCAUGCGAGUUGAAUGUUCUUCGUGAACAUGGCGGACUGCUCAGUAACACGUGGACAACCUACCCUUGGGUCCGGCAUAAUCCUGGGAAACUGGGAAUAAUUCCGGAUAGGUCACCGAUGCUGGAAUGCGCGGUGGCCGAAAGCUCCGGCGCCCGAGGAUGGGUCUGCGGCCUAUCAGGGUUGUAGUGGGUGUAACGUACCUACUAGCCUACGACGGGUACGGGUUGUGAGAGCAAGAGCCCGGAGAUGGAUUCUGAGACACGAAUCCAGGCCCUACGGGGUGCAGCAGGCGCGAAAACUUUACAAUGCGGGAAACCGUGAUAAGGGGAUCUCGAGUGCCAGCAUAUAAUGUUGGCUGUCCAGAUGCCUAAAAAGCAUCUGUUAGCAAGGGCCGGGCAAGACCGGUGCCAGCCGCCGCGGUAACACCGGCGGCCCGAGUGGUAACCGCUAUUAUUGGGUCUAAAGGGUCUGUAGCCGGCCAGGUAAGUCCCUUGNNAAAUCUGGCAGCUCAACUGUCANGCUGCUAGGGGAUACUGUUUGGCUUGGGACCGGGAGAGGUGAGANGUACCUUGGGGGUANGGGUGAAAUCUUGUGAUCCUCGAGGGACCACCAGUGNCGAA